rnacentral:snoRNA from 1 species
AUCCUUUUGUGGUUCAUAAGCAUGAUGAACGGGUGUUCAUGCGCUUGUGUGAGGUGUGCCUCCCUCAAACCUUUUUACAACGUCAGCACAUUACCCAUCUGACA